rnacentral:tmRNA from 1 species
GGGGGUGUACCGGUUUCGACUGUGGCGUGUUUUGGGCGGAGGUUGCAGGUAGAGCGCCGUUCUCUUUAACCGGCACAAACUUUUAACUGCCAACGAAGCAGAUUUCGCUCUCGCUGCCUAAGUAGCAACGAGCGGACGAUCGGAAUCACGUCUUGAGUUCCGGUAACGUCCGACAGACAUCAGGACUCACUCGGCCGUCACGUCCGGAGGGCGACCGAGGACAUUAAUCCGGGCUACGGGGUGCCCGACGAGCCUUCCCGCCUGGGCGCCCUGGAAAACAAAUGGAAGGACAAACCUGUAGAUGCUUCCGACCGGCCCCAUAGGACGCGGGUUCGAUUCCCGCCACCUCCAG